CUUGCGUAAAGUGCGGCAAGGGUCACGAUGGGGCAUGUCGAGCCGGUGCCUGCUACAAGUGCGGCAAGGAGGGGCACAUUGCUAGGGAGUGCCCCAAGGGGUUUAUGGUUUGCUUCCAUUGCAACCAGACCGGCCAUCGAAGGGCCGAGUGUCCGCAGCUUCGUCAGGGAUCUGCACCUGUUGCCAGGACUACUGAGACUCGACCGGUGAAGGUCGAGGCCCCGAGGGCUCGUGGGAGAGCCUUUCAGCUGACUGCGGAGGAGGUCCGCGCUGCGCCCGAUGUUGUGGCAGGUAUGUUGUAAUUCGUGUAAUUAUUUUAAUGUCAAUAUGUUAUGCUUAUGUUAUUAUGCGCGUAGGUACUUUCCUUGUGAACUCUGUACCUGCUUUAGUGUUAUUUGACUCGGGUGCGAGUAGGUCCUUUGUGUCUUUAGCCUUUAGUCAGCAGAUUGGCGUUAGUCGUGAGUCGUUGAGUCGACCUUUGAGAGUUUCUAUAGCUGACGAGAAAGUGAUUCGUGCUACGGAGGUUCUUCGGGGAUGUGUACUAGAGAUUUUCGGGGUUGAAUUCCCGAUUGACCUGAUUCCUAUUGCGAUGGGGGAUGUCUGUGUUAUCGUGGGCAUGGAUUGGUUGAGCCGAUUCGGCGCUGUCAUCGACUGCGAGCGUCAGUUGGUGACCAUACGAGACCAUAGUGGGGGAGUUCUUUCGGUGUACGGUGAGGGUACUCGUUCAGGAUCAGCUUUUUGUUCGGCCGCUAGGGCGAGGCAGUGUCUACAGCAGGGCUGUAAGGGUUUUGUGGCGUAUGUGAUGGAUACGCGGGAGGUUUCCGAGAGACCGAAGUCAAUUAAGGAGGUCCCUGUGGUGCGUGAGUUUUCAGAUGUUUUUCCCGAGGAACUGCCGGGAGUACCUCCUGUGAGGCAAGUAGAGUUUGGUAUCGAUCUGGUUCCGGGGGCCGCGCCUAUUGCUAAAGUGCCCUAUCGUCUUGCACCUCCAGAGAUGCAAGAGUUGUCCUCGCAACUCCAGGAGUUGCUGGGAAAGGGAUUCAUUCGGCCGAGCAGCUCGCCAUGGGGAGCACCUAUUCUGUUCGUCAAGAAGAAGGAUGGUUCACACCGGAUGUGCAUUGAUUACCGGGAGUUGAACAAGCUAACGGUCAAGAACCGUUACCCGUUGCCGAGGAUCGAUGAUUUAUUCGAUCAGUUGCAGGGAGCAUCUUGGUUUUCCAAGAUCGAUCUGAGGUCAGGAUACCAUCAGGUGAGAGUACGGGAUGAAGACGUCCAGAAGACAGCGUUUAGGACGCGAUAUGGGCAUUAUGAGUUUGUGGUGAUGCCUUUUGGACUCACCAAUGCCCCGGCUGUGUUCAUGGAUCUCAUGAACAGGGUAUGCAGGCCGAUGUUGGAUCGGUCAGUGAUUGUAUUUAUCGACGACAUUCUGGUGUAUUCGAGAUCUAGAGAGCAGCAUGAGGAGCAUUUGAGGGAGGUCCUUGAGGUAUUGAGGUCGGAGAAGCUUUAUGCAAAGUUCUCCAAAUGUGACUUCUGGUUGCGGGAGGUCCAGUUUCUAGGACAUGUGGUUAAUCAGAAAGGGAUAUUGGUCGAUCCGGCCAAGGUUGAGGCGGUGAUGAGUUGGGAGGUGCCGAAGUCACCCUCUGAGAUCAGAAGUUUCCUUGGGUUGGCAGGGUAUUAUCGGAGAUUUAUCAAGGAUUUCUCCAAGAUCGCAGUGCCACUCACCAGAUUGACCCGGAAGGGUGUUACAUUCUCAUGGGGGCCCGAGCAGCAGACCUCCUUUGAGACACUUCGCCAGAGAUUGUGCGAAGCCCCGGUAUUAGCUCUCCCAGAAGGGAUGGAAGAUUUCGUGGUAUAUUGCGACGCAUCGAUUUCGGGAUUGGGUGCAGUGUUGAUGCAGAGGGGUCAUGUGAUAGCUUAUGCGUCGAGGCAGCUGAAGCCUCAUGAGGCGAGAUAUCCCACGCAUGAUUUAGAGUUGGGGGCAGUAGUGUUCGCUCUCAAGAUUUGGCGUCACUACUUGUAUGGGGUUCGAUGUACGAUAUACACGGACCAUAAGAGUUUGAAGUAUUUGAUGGAUCAACCCAACCUAAAUAUGCGUCAGAGGAGGUGGUUGGAUGUGGUCAAGGAUUAUGAUUGUGAGAUCCUGUACCACCCAGGCAAGGCUAAUGUGGUAGCCGAUGCAUUGAGCCGCAGGGCGGAGAGCACUCCAUUGCGAGAUGUAUGCUUGAGACUGACUGUGAUGACUCCAGUAUUGGACGCUAUUCGUGGGGCCCAGGCAGAGGCUGUGCGACCAGAAAUGCAGAAGAAAGAGCGGGUUGUGGGGUUAAUCUCAGAGUUUGUCAAGGAUAGUCGAGGCCUUAUGACGUUUCAGGGUCGGAUUUGGGUACCGUUCGUGGGCGGUACGCGUAUUACGUUGAUGGAAGAGGCUCAUAGAUCGAAAUUCUCGAUCCAUCCCGGUGCUACAAAGAUGUAUUUGGAUUUAAGGAAGGAAUAUUGGUGGCCCUGUAUGAAGAGGGACGUGGCAUGGUUCGUUGAGAGGUGCUUGACCUGCCGUAGGGUUAAGGCUGAGCACCAGAGACCGCAUGGCAAGUUACAGCCAUUGGAGAUCCCCGAGUGGAAGUGGGAACAGAUCACUAUGGAUUUUAUCACCAAAUUGCCGAGGACUGCUAGGGGAGUUGACGCAAUUUGGGUGAUCGUGGAUAGGUUGACAAAGAGUGCACACUUCCUUGCCAUCAGUGAGAGUUCUUCGGCGGAGAAAUUGGCGGAGAUAUACGUGAGAGAGGUGGUAUCUCGGCACGGGGUGCCGAUCUCGAUUGUGUCAGACCGUGAUGUGCGCUUUACUUCCAGAUUCUGGAAGAAAUUCCAUGAGGAGCUGGGUACUAAAUUGCAUUUUAGUACCGCAUACCAUCCCCAGACAGACGGUCAGAGCGAGCGGACAAUUCAGACGCUGGAGGACAUGCUCCGAGCGUGUGUGUUAGACUUCGGGGGUAGUUGGGAUGCGUAUUUACCAUUGGCAGAGUUUUCCUACAACAACAGCCAUCAUUCGAGCAUUGGUAUGCCACCUUUCGAGCUGUUGUAUGGUAGGAGGUGUCGGACCCCCAUUUGCUGGGGAGAGGUGGGACAGAGAGUGAUGGGCAGCACGGAGAUCGUGCUCCAGACGACAGAGCAGAUUCAGCGAGUGAGACAAAGGUUAUUGACUGCCCAGAGCCGACAGAAGAGUUAUGCAGACAGGCGCCGAUCCGAGCUUGAAUUUCAGGUCGGCGACUUCGUUCUCCUGAAGGUCUCUCCUUGGAAAGGAGUGAUUCGAUUCAGGAAGAGGGGCAAGUUGGGGCCCCGGUAUAUUGGGCCAUUUCGUGUGAUUGCAAGGAUAGGUCGGGUAGCCUAUCGGUUGGAGUUGCCAGCGGAGUUGGGUCAGAUCCAUGACACUUUUCAUGUGUCGCAGUUGAGGAAGUGCAUAGCCGAUGAGUCGGCAGUGGUUCCAUUGGAGGAUAUUCAGGUGGAUGCGAGCCUGAAUUACGCGGAGAGACCAGUGGCUAUCAGGGAUCGGAAGAUCAAGGUUCUGAGGAACAAGGAGGUACCUCUGGUGUUGGUUCAAUGGCAACACCGUAAGGGAUCAGAAAUGACUUGGGAACCGGAGCGCGAAAUGCGGGAGCAGCAUCCGGAACUAUUUGCAGAGUGAGACUUCGAGGGCGAAGUCUAAUCCAAGUGGGGGAGAGUUGUAACAGCCCGGAAUCUCAGGUAUUAUUAAAAUUAUGUUUUUGGGGUGAUUUAAGAGGGGACUCGGCGAGUUGGAGCCUAGACUCGCCGAGUAGGAUCGCAGACUUGGUCGCGGGUUCGCGACUGGACUCGACGAGUCCAGAUAUGGACUCGGCGAGUCUACGCUGUUUAGCGAAAACCCUAACCGUUCAGGUUUGGGACGUAUAAAAGGGACUCAUUGGCCGUCAUUGUUCAUUUUAGCCUUCUGAGAAGAACCCUAAAUCGAUUGUGUGCAUCUGGAGCAAGGAUUAUAGGCCAUUGUUGAUUAUAGAAGAGUGGUUGUGCAAGGAAGAGAAGGGAUUGGCUAAAGGAGCAGCAAGGGAGUCACAUUCUGAGGAUUGGGGACACAGAGAAUACAUCAUCCAGGUAAGAAUUCGAGUAUACUCUGCUAUGUUGAUGUGAUUAUGGAAUUAGGGUUUAUGGAACCCUUUUGUGAAUAGAUUGAAUGUUACCCUAGUCCCCUAAUCGAUUGUAACCCUGUAUUGGGACCUUUGGAGGUCCAGAAUGUCCCAUGUCUGUGCAUUUCGGGAAUUGAUGAAGGUUUUGGAUUGGAAUCCUUAUGCCUUAGGUCAAAAUGUAAAUUAUGAAUCAUAUGGUGUAUCAUGAGCACUGAAAUGAGGACUUUACGUGAUGGAUCAGCCUAGGAAGGCCAGACCUAGGAAUGGUCGAAGCAGUUCUGACCUUAGGAUGCAGUUUGAGCGGUUGCAUGGCAUGGACUCGCCGAGUUCGAUGAACAGACUCGGCGAGUAGCUUGAAGAUUAACUGGGACUCGUCGAGUUGUUCUUCAGACUCGGCGAGUUGAGUCGGGGUGGCCCCGCGAUUCUUCCAGGAGUAACUCGUCGGGUCAAGGAGGAUACUCGACGAGUAGAAAGGGAAUCUCAGAGAGUUGGAGGACGUCUAGACUCGCCGAGUCGCCAUGGCACUCGCCGAGUCCGGUCGAGUUGACCGUUGACCGUUGACCGUUGACCAGAGUUGACCUAAGUCUGACUUCUUAGGGAUAGUCACACUUAGAAGAUAUAAGUGUUAAUGAGAGAUAUGUGAUGUUAUAGGGAGGUUGUAGCUCGUCGGAUUGUGCACGAGUGAUUUCAGGAUUUGCUAGCUUUCAGCAUUCACGAGGUGAGUCUUCUCACUAUACUGUACCCGGAAGGGUUUGACUGUGUGACCGGAAGGUCAGAUAUGAUAUGUGAUAUGUAUGCUAUAUGUGGUAAGUUAUUUGUUAUAUGUGCUAUGUAUGUUAUGUGGGCCGGAAGGCAAUAUGUUAUGGGCCGGAAGGCGAUUAUGUUAUGGGCCGGAAGGCGUUGUGUUGAGGACCGGAAGGUCAGGGCCUGGAAAGGCGUAUGUGCGUAAGUUGUAUAUUGGGGAACUCACUAAGCAUUUAUGCUUACAGUUGUUAUGUAUGUGUUUCAGGUACUAGCGAGGACCGUGGGAAGGCGCCGGCGUGAUCGAUACACACUGAAGAAUGUUUUUAUGAUCUUGGGAUUUAGACAGUUUGUAUUUGACAUGACACUUAAAUUAUUUAUGCCUUGUUUUGAAUGAAAAUACUCUAUUUUUAAAAUGAAAAAUUUGUUUGAAAAUUUGCGUUGUUACAAUUGGUAUCAGAGCCUUGGUUUGAGGGAUUCGGGUGCACCUUCGGGAGUAACUGAACUCAAACCGAGGAUUUGAGGAAAACUUUUUAAAUAAAGGCAUAAACUUUUGUAAAUGGUUUUGUGGUAAGCAAGAAAGAAGCAGUGUGUACGAUCAGUCAGCGCCCGAACGGUAAAGAUCCCCAAAAUACCUUACAAUAUUAUAUGAUAUAAAUUGUUAUGCAUGCUAGAAGACUAGGUAUUCAUGAUAGGACUAGAGUGGCCUGAUUUGUGAUGCCUUAGUCUAGGGAAGUUUGCCGAUAUGAGAUGCUUUGCUAGUGUGCGGGUAGAUAGUGCAUAUCAGAAGUAGAGUACUCACUAUCCGGGGUUUGGGGAGGAAGACUUGGGAUGAAUGCUGAUGCGGUGUGGUCGGUAGUAUUGGGCCCGUACUACCGAAGACACCGGGUCAGUGGGAGACCCAAGUAAGAAUCCCUGGAUAUCGGAGACUGAGUAGGGUUGCGUUAUCGAGUGCGAUUAUACUCGAUGGAGUCUCUGAUAGUUUUAUGUUGUAUUUCAGAGACAUCAUGGUUAGACCACGCCACGGAGCGAGUUCGAGCGGUGUGAGUGACGAGGAGAUUCGUCAGAUGAUUCACGAGGAGGUAGCUGCGGCGAUCCGGGCUGAGAUCCCGGAGAUGUUUGGGUCUAUUAAGACCACCCUGAUGGAGACGUUUGAUGAGCGGUACGCCGCAUUGACUGAGGCUGCAACCGCUGCAGCUACCGCAGCUGUGGCCGCUGCUAGGCCACAGGGGGGUGACUCGUUGCUGUUCCGAGAGUUCAGCAACACGAAGCCACCAGAGUUCGAUGGGACGCAGGAUCCGAUUGCUGCGAUGAGGUGGAUCGCGGAUAUAGAGGGGUGCUUCUACACUUGUUCAUGCCCGGAGCACCUGAGGGUACGGUUCGCUUUGAACCAGCUCCGUCUGGGAGCGAAGGACUGGUGGAAGUUCGUGACGGCGAACUUCACUUUGGCAGAGACUACAGCAGUGACAUGGGAGGGGUUUACUGCCAUGUUCAGGGAUGAGUACGUUCCCCCGGUGGAGAGGGAACGAUUGGUUCAGGAGUUCUUAACCCUCAAGCAGGGUACUGAUUCUGUUGCGGUGAUCACGCGGAAGUUUCAUGAGAGGGCGAUGUUCUGCCCCGAGCUGGUGUCCACUGAUCAGGCUCGGAUGAGCCGGUACUUGGGAGUGUUGAGGAGGGAUAUCCGGGAGUUUGUGUCAAACUCCACUUACCAUACUUUUGCUGAGCUUCAGGCGAAUGCCAGGAAGCGCGAGAUCGAGUUGGAGACCCAGGCCAGGGAGGAGGCCGAGUCUCAGCGGGUGGACCGGCGACCGGCUCAGUUCCAGCCGGCAGCCAAGCGGACCAAGUCCGCUGAUUCGAGGACAGGAGGUUCGAAGGGUCGCACUUGCGGGAAGUGCGGCAAGAGUCAUGAUGGAGUAUGUCGAUCUGGUGCUUGCUACAAGUGUGGCAAGGAGGGGCACAUUGCUAGGGAGUGCCCCAAGGGAUUUUCGGUUUGCUUUCAUUGCAACCAGACUGGCCAUAGGAAGGCCGAGUGCCCUCAGCUUCUUCAGGGAUCUGCACCUGCUGCCGGAGCUACUGCGACUCGACCGGUGAAGGCCGAGGCCCCGAGGGCUCGGGGAAGAGCCUUUCAGCUGACUGCGGAAGAGGUCCGCGCUGCGCCCGAUGUUGUGGCAGGUAUGUUGUAAUUCAUGUAAUUAUUUUAAUGUCGAUAUGUUAUGCUUAUGUUAUUAUGCGCGUAGGUACUUUCCUUGUGAACUCUGUGCCUGCCUUAGUGUUAUUUGACUCGGGUGCGAGUAGGUCCUUUGUGUCCUUAGCCUUUAGUCAGCAUAUCGGCGUUAGUCGUGAGUCGUUGAGUCGACCUUUGAGAGUUUCUAUAGCUGACGAGAAAGUGAUUUGUGCCACGGAGGUUCUUCGGGGAUGUGUACUAGAGAUUUUCGGGGUUGAAUUCCCGAUUGACCUGAUUCCUAUUGCGAUGGGUGAUGUCUGUGUCAUCGUGGGCAUGGACUGGUUGAGCCGAUUCGGCGCUGUCAUCGACUGUGAGCGUCAGUUGGUGACUAUACGAGACCAUAGUGGGGGAGUUCUUUCGGUGUACGGCGAGGGUACCCGUUCGGGAUCAGCUUUUUGUUCGGCCGCUAGGGCGAGGCAGUGUCUACAGCAGGGCUGUAAGGGUUUUGUGGCGUAUGUGAUGGAUACGCGGGAGGUUUCCGAGAGACCGAAGUCAGUUGAGGAGGUCCCUGUGGUGCGUGAGUUUCCAGAUGUUUUCCCCGAGGAGCUGCCGGGAGUACCUCCUGUGAGGCAAGUAGAGUUUGGUAUCGAUCUGGUUCCGGGGGCCGCGCCUAUUGCUAAGGUGCCUUAUCGUCUUGCACCUCCAGAGAUGCAAGAGUUGUCCUCGCAACUCCAGGAGUUGCUGGGGAAGGGAUUCAUUCGGCCGAGCAGCUCGCCAUGGGGAGCACCUAUUCUGUUCGUCAAGAAGAAGGAUGGUUCACACCGGAUGUGCAUUGAUUACCGGGAGUUGAACAAGUUAACGGUCAAGAACCGUUACCCGUUACCGAGGAUCGAUGAUUUAUUCGAUCAGUUGCAGGGAGCAUCUUGGUUUUCCAAGAUCGAUCUGAGGUC
rnacentral:lncRNA from 1 species